GAGUGAGAGAGAGGUUUUCUGUGAGAGCACCUGCUGCCUGUUUUAUGCUGCUAUGUGCCUCAGAAAAGUCUGUAAAGUCUCAUAUAGAUAGAAGCACUUGUAAUUCCCUCUUCAUACCUAAUGUAGCAGAAUUAUUUGAUGUUGAAUUAUUUUGGAUUUUUGAGUGUAGCUUAUUGUCUUGAAUAACGAAUGGGAUAAACGUAGAAAUAAUCUAAAUCAAUAAAGAAUAGAUAUAGAUAUAUUAGAUAUAAGCAAAUGUAAACGUCUUUUAGUAUAUCAAGUAAUGUAAUGUGUUCCGUUUAAACUCUAAACAGAGAAUCUUGUGGAGUCUUUUCUAGGAGAGAAAAAAAGCUAUGUUUCUCAAGGGUCAAACAACCCGGGACAACCUCCACACAUAUAAAUACCACAGAAAAUGGGUUUGGGGCCCACAAAAUCCAGAAAGACAGGUGCACAGUUGUAAAAUGACACGUUUUACCUCAGAAACUAACAUUAAUAGCAGCUGCAUGUGGAGGAGCGGACAUGCGAACCCGGUUCACCAGAUUACGAGUCCACCGCUCUUAACCACUGCGCCACACUGGCUCUCCUUAAUCUUAAUCUAAGUACAACAUCCACGAAGAGCUCCUGAAUAGACAACCAGCUAUGUGAUGUUGAAUGCUCUCUGUUCUCUGCUUCCCAUUUUUGUUUUCCAGUUUAAACCAAUUCAUGAACCCAGAACUCAUACACUGACCAUUAAUGAUGAACCAUAUGUUAUAGCCAUUCCUGCAAAUUUAUUCUGCUAGUUUUGAGAUAUACAAAUGACAUGAGACGACCUGGUCUACAUGUUUGUGUCAUUUAUUAUGCAUAUGUUCCUUGUUUUUAAAAGGAAAUAAAAAGUUAUUCCAAAAAGAAAAGAAAAGGGCGACACAAAGCAUAGGCCCCAUCUGCAUUCAAACUGCAAAGCAGCAUCACAUUACUUUAAAGAGUCGUUGCUUCUACUGCUGUGUGAUAGAGCGGUAAGUUUUUUGACAUUGGUAGGGUAUUCAGAUCACAGCACUGGUAUUAGACCUUUUGAGCUGCCAAUACAUCGUGGUGGCCGGGGAGCUGUGAUGUAUUCCUAGCUCAAAUUCCCUGCAGACGACAAAGGCGCAGGCUGGCAGGUGGUGGAGCCCAAAAAGGUGCUCUCCUUCUCAAUCUCCGCCUGCCUGUCUGCCUCCCCCCACCCCCAGGUUGAGCAAGCCCCAAUACCUCUCUGGCUCCAUCCCUCCAUGUCCCCAUCUCCCCUCCCCUGGAACUCACCAGAUCUCUCUGAGAGCCCUAGAGAGAAACGCUCAGAGGUUGUGAGGAGGGAUGCAGGAGACAACCUGACCAGGUCAACCGUCCAUCUUCCCCCUUUCAUCCUCGCUAGCUUUGCAGGAUCCAUCUCUUUCAUCCUUCCUGAAGAGUCAAGGAGCCAAAACAAGCUGCAGGGUCCUGGGAGAGAGGAAGAAGCAAAGGGAGCCUCAAAGACCCUGCAGGGAAGAAGAAGAGAAGAUGAAGAGUUUGGAUUUGAUAUCCCGCUUUAUCACUACCCGAAGGAGUCUCAAAGCGGCUAACAUUCUCCUUGCCUUCCUCCCCCACAACAAACACUCUGUGAGGUGAGUGGGGCUGAGAGACUUCAGAGAAAUGUGACUAGCCUGAGGUCACCCAGCAGCUGCAUGUGGAGGAGCGGACACGCGAACCCGGUUCACCAGAUUACGAGUCUACCGCUCUUAACCACUACACCACACUGGCUCUCACUGGAUUCUCCUGCCCCUGGAAAAGCACAAAUGGGGCAGCCCCUUCCCAACAGAAACCCCAUUUAUAAACAUUUCCAGUGGUUCCAAUUUCCUCUGUUUACUCCUCUCCCCACUUCGUAAGGCCGGCAUGGUCUGCACAGUUGAGACCUGAGAGUAGACCCCAUUGAACUCAGUGGGGCUUAUGGAAAGAACUUGGUGGAAAAACCAGUCACCAUCUUGUCCCAGCCUGAAGACUGCAAUGCCAGGCAUGCUUAUCUAUGGUAUCAUAAGGCAAAAGUUCAUAAAAGUUUUCAUAGUCAUAAAAAGAAACUCGAUUCUUACAAGUUUGGAGGGAAAUAUAAAGAUUUAUUUCAAAAGAAAACAGCAUGGUGACUUUCCCCAUUAGAAGCAGUAUCUUUGAGAAAAGUAAAUAUGAAGAUAAAUUGGCCGACAUAUAAAGAGCUGUUAACAGAAACUGACAAUCAAUUAAAAUUAAAGGACUUUGAAGAAGUAAGAGAAAAUGUAAUAGACUGCUUACAAUAUUUACAACUAAAUGAAACUUUUAAAAAUCAUGAAAAGAAACGAUUUAGUUAUCAAGUGUCAAGAUUUCAGAGAGAAAUAGUAGAAGGUAGUACAAAACUGCUGUCAAAAAUGAACGAUCUGCUUUUGCAAUGGAACACUAAAGAGGAGCAGGUAAAUUGCGUUAUGAUAAAAUGGGCGAAGGAUGUGGGACAUAAUAUAUGAAUGACGGACUGGGAAAGGCUUUGGAAGUUAGAUUUGGAAGUUAGAAUGCCGAGACCACAGAACACCGGUCUUGAAAGACCUACACUGGCUCCCAGUACGUUUCCGAACACAAUUCAAAGUGUUGGUGCUGACCUUGAAAGCCCUAAACGGCCUCGGCCCAGUAUACCUGAAGGAGCGUCUCCACCCCCCAUCAUUCUGCCCAGACACUGAGGUCCAGUGUCCUUCUGGCAGUUCCCUCCCUGCGAGAAGCCAAGUUACAGGGAACCAGGCAUAGGGCCUUCUCGGUAGUGGCUCCUGCCCUGUGGAAUGCUCUCCCACCAGAUGUCAAAGAGAAAAACUACCACCAGACUUUUAGAAGACAUCUGAAGGCAGCCCUGUUUAGGGAAGCUUUUAAUGUUUAAUAAAGGUAAAGGUAAAGGUACCCCUGCCCGUACGGGCCAGUUGUGACCGACUCUAGGGUUGCGCGCUCAUCUCGCUCUAGACCCGGGAGCCGGCGCUGUCCAAAGACACUUCCAGGUCACGUGGCCAGCGUGACGAAGCUGCACUGGUGAGCCAGCACCAGCACCGCACACGGAAACGCUGUUUACCUUCUCGCUAGGUAAGUGGUCCCUAUUUAUCUACUUGCACUUAGGGGUGCUUUCAAACUGCUAGGUGGGCAGGAGCUGGGAGCGAAUGACGGGAGCUCACCCCGUCGCGGGGAUUUGAACCGCCGACCUUACGAUCAGCAAGUCCUAGGCACUGAUUUUUUACCCACAGCGUCCCUUAAUGUUUAAUAGAUUGUAUUAUUAUUGUAUUUUAAUAUUCUGUUGGAAGCCACACAGAGUGGAUGGGGAAACCCAGCCAGAUGAGCGGGGUAUAAAUAACAAAUUAUUUUUAUUGUUGUUGUUGUUGUUGUUUUGAAAUUUUCUGCAUGUACUUUACUGAAGGAAAACUACAUGAAAAUGAUGUAUAGGUUGUAUUUGACCCUGGGUUAAUUAGCAAAAAUAUACCGUACUUUUCGCACCAUAGGAUGCACUUUUUCCAUCUUAAAAACUAAGGGGGAAAGUCUGUGCAUCCUAUGGAGCGAAUGCAGCGGGGAGGCAGGCAGGAAAAGCCGCGGGAGGCUGCGCAAGGCUAAAGAGGAAGCCAGGGCAGGGAGCGUGAUCCACCAGAGGUAGAUCUUAACCCUUGCCUCACCUGGGAGAUUCUCUGGGCAGGAAUUCCCUCAGCUUAAGUGGGGUGGGGGAAGUGUGGCAGGUAGGGGGGUACCUACCUAGACACUGAAGCCACAUGUCUCUCCAAUGAAAAUUGGGAGUGGGCAUUGUGUGAAGUGGCUGUGGAUCUCCUGCUGCAGAACUGUAGGACUGUAUAGAGUUGGGAGGGCCACCCGAGGGUCAUCUAGCCCAGCCCCCUCACAAUAUAGGAAUCACAGCUAAAGAACGCCAGGCAGAUGGUCCCCCAACCGCUGUUUAAAAGCCUCCAGUGGUGGAGACCCCCAACACCUUCCGAGGUCACAGAAUUGCAGGGUUGGAAGGGAACCCCAGGAGUCAUUUAGUCCAGCCCCGGUGGACAGCGGGUGCGAUCCAUCCCGCUGCACAAGGCUAAAGAGGAAGCCAAGGCAGCGAGCGGGAUGGAUCGCGCUUGCUGCCUUGCCUUCUUCUUUAGCCGUGCUGGAGAGGUUUAGCUCCUGGCUGGAGAGGUUGAGCGGCUAUGGAUCCCGCUCACUGUCUUGGCUUCUUUGCUCUUUGGGGCUUGGGGGGGGGACCCGGGCUUCCCCCGCAGCCCCGAGAAGCUCUGGGAGAAGCGGACAGGCUGUGCGAAGCCUGUCCGUUGAUCUUUGGGGCUUGGGGGGGGGAAUAAUUUUUUUCCCUUGAUUUCCCCCUAUAAAACUAGGUGCGUCCUGUGGUCCGGUGCGUCCAAUAGAGCGAAAAAUACGGUACUUCUCACUUGCUGGAUCAACACCUUGUUGUGGUGAGUGGGCCUGCACAUUCCUAUGACCCUUGUGAGUGAAGCCAUCGGGAAUCUUGUACUCCCAGCAGGAUCACCCUAGUACUUUCCUAACAAUAGUGGAAGUCAUGCAGAGAGUGACUCUUCUGAAUAUUCCUUGAAUACCAGUAGUAUACAAGGAAUCUUUACAACCCCAACCUGGAAACAGAGCCCCAUGUGCUUCCCCAUCUCAGAAGUCCCACCUGGCCCUGAGGGAACUGGAUUCGCAGGAGAAACAGUUCCCCUCUCCUCUCCUCGGACAAGUGAAAGGAAGUCUCCCCUGCUGAAGAAAUGGCAGCCCUGCUUGCCUGGAAUUCACAUAUUGCUGACCACGCUGCACUGAUUCUCCCAGUCUCCUCGCUAGAACAGAUGUCAGAGAAAGAGGAGCAGGAACAUGAUGGUACAGCACCUUCUCCCUCGUCACAGAAGGAGACGCAGUUACAAGCAUCUCAAACCAAUGCGAAGCUCUUACUCCUGCAAAAAUUACCCACAAUGCAACUGCAUGACCUAGCUUUUAUCCUGGAAUGUGGCCGGGUGGUCUGCAUCCACAGAGAUCCUUGUUUUAAAGACUUUCUCUCCCACCAUUGCGUCAUAAUGAUCCAGGAAACAUGGACAGCGGAUGAGCUGUUACUCAACGGAUUUCAUUCAUUCUCAACUGGGGCAGAUCUAGGGGUAAAGCGUGGAAGAGAGAAAGGGGGCCUGGGGGUCUUAGUCUCCACUACCCUACAUUCCAUUUCAAGCCCUCCCCCUCAUUCAAGUCAUAAGUCAGGGCAGUGUUAAUUCAAUUCAGCCACCAGGCCCUGUUGGUAAUUAACGCUGAUGUGACCCCAAUGAGGCAGAAAUCUCAGAUCAGAAACUUGUGGGUUGAAAGGGAAAUUUAUACCAAAAGGCAUACUAGACAUAGCAAACUUAUCUUUUGGAUUGCACGGCCCAGAGAAAGAGACACCAUCUACAGAACAAGAACAGACACUUGGUGCAGUUGGAGGUAAAGUGAAGUAACCCCAUCAUGGCUCUGCAACUGUUAAGCUGGAAUUGUAAUGGUUUGAACUCCCCUCGAAAGAGAAAAAGUGUUUUUCAUCUACUAAAAAAGGAACAAUUGGAAUUGAUUUGUUUACAAGAAACACAUAUAACAAGGCUACACAGGAAACUACUGAUUAAUAAAAGAUUGGGACAGGAGUUUAUCUCAUCUGACAAAGUUAAAAAGAGGAGUUGUGAUAUAUGCAAAGGAGAGACUAUCACCGAAAUUAAUUUUUAAAGAUGACCAAGGAAGAUUUUUGGCAAUUGAAAUUCAAGUUCAAGGAGAGAAAUUCUUGAUAGUAGGAAUUUAUGCACCGAAUGAGGGGAAAUCUGAAUUCUUUAAAAAGCUGCACCAGACUUUACUGGACUAUUUGGAUUACAAUUUGAUUUUGAUGGGGGACAUGAAUGGAGUAGUAUCUACAAACAUGGAUAAGGCACAAAGACAGGUAGUUACCAAGGAUGGUAGACUACCGAAAACAUUUUUUGAGAUGACAGAUAAUAUAGACUUAGUGGAUAUCUGGAGAGUAAAGAACCCCUUGGGAAGAGAGGGAACCUUCUUUUCUGAAGCCAAGAUGACAUGGACUAGAAUUGACCAAAUAUGGAUAACUAGAGGAAUGGCACCAAAGAUAAAGAAAGUAGAAAUCUGCCCAAAAACUGUUAGGAUAUUUCCGUUCCACCUUAAAAGGGAGCAGGCUUUGUGACUCAAAGUCUGCGUAUUUCCUGUUCACAGGAUGUUUAUGUUUUCUGUUGCUUUCGUUUUCUCUCUGUGUCGCAGGCACUAAAGCAGGCAGUCAUGUUUUUCUGUGUUCUGAUCAACGCUGAAUAAACUUGUAAAUAAUGCUCUCCUGAGUGCAACUUUUGGCUGUGCAUUAUCUGCUGAUAGAGCGUGCAUGAGCUCUGGAAUGUGGCAAGAUAUUUUCUAGAAACUCAUGUCGCUGCGUGCCUACGGGAGGUCGAUGGAUCGUCCGGCAGACGGCUUGGGGGCCUUGAUGGACUUUAUCUCCCUGGCAGUAUCCCAACAAAAACCUGCUCCGACCAUAACGCUGUAAGGAUGGAGAUGAAACAAAUAUCAACCGGAUCCUUCAGAUGGAGGAUGAAUGACACCUUAUUUAGAGAUGAAGAAGUAUAUAAAAAGGCCCAAAAAACUUUGAGAGACUAUUUUGAAAUAAAUAUGAACACCAAUGUAGAAAAAAAGAGUAAUCUGGGACGCAAGCAAAGCGGUCAUGAGAGGGUUUGUGAUACAACAGAAUGCAAUAAAGAAGAGAAGUCAGAAUGAGAAGAAAGAUAAAAUUUUGG